GCGGAUAUGGCGGAACUGGCAGACGCACCAGAUUUAGGUUCUGGCGGGAAACCGUGCAGGUUCAAGUCCUGUUAUCCGCA
rnacentral:tRNA from 1 species